GUAGGUGAACCUGCGGAAGGAUCAUUAAAAGUUGUGCGAGGCGGUCCCUGGCACUGCCAGGUGGCUGCUUAGACAUCAACACCCUCUGUAUAUCUACUGCGUUGCUUUGGCGGGACGGCAGCCAGCAGCCCUGCUGGGAAGCUGUCCGCAGGGCCUCUCAAGACCCUGCGAGCGCCCGCCGGAGAACCAUCAAACUCAUGUUAAACCGUGAUGUCUGAGCUUUACAAGCAAUAAGUUAAAACUUUCAACA
rnacentral:misc_RNA from 1 species